UACAGGGGGGGCAAGCGUUGUUCGGAAUUACUGGGCGUAAAGGGUUUGUAGGUGGCUUGCUAAGUCAGACGUGAAAUCCCUCAGCUUAACUGGGGAACUGCGUCUGAUACUGGCGAGCUUGAGUGCAGGAGAGGAACGCGGAAUUCCAGGUGUAGCGGUGAAAUGCGUAGAUAUCUGGAGGAACACCGGUGGCGAAGGCGGCGUUCUGGACUGCAACUGACACUGAGAGACGAAAGCCAGGGGAGCAAACGGG
rnacentral:rRNA from 1 species